rnacentral:rRNA from 1 species
UACGAAGGGGGCUAGCGUUGCUCGGAAUCACUGGGUGUAAAGGGUUCGUAGGCGGUGCGGCAAGUUGGGAGUGAAAUCUCUGGGCUUAACCCAGAGGCUGCUUCCAAAACUGCUGUGCUUGAGUGUGGGAGAGGCGCGUGGAAUUGCAGGUGUAGCGGUGAAAUGCGUAGAUAUCUGCAGGAACACCCGUGGCGAAAGCGGCGCGCUGGACCACUACUGACGCUGAGGAACGAAAGCUAGGGGAGCAAACAGG